GGGGGCGUCACGGUUUCGACGUGAUAUUUGAUGUUUUGAGAGCAUGUCGAGUUUUGUAUGGGAACUCGUAAAAAACAUACAAAACAAAUAAGUGCAGAACCUGUUUCCGCAUACGCUUAAUAGUAGUUAUUAAGUGACUUGUCAGUAAAGCAUGUCUAUCUGUGGAACUGACUCGUAUUAAAAAGAUAGAACUCGCUAAGUAGAUUUUUUGGUUUUGUAUUUAGCGAAAAUCACUAAACUGGCUUUUAUUUCAAUCUAUGCUCUUGAGGUGAAGUAAGAGUAUAUUCAAGAGAUAAACAUGUAGUGCUUGGAACUGAUAGUGUUGCGGACAUGGGUUCGACUCCCAUCGCCUCCACCA
rnacentral:tmRNA from 1 species